rnacentral:rRNA from 1 species
AAAAAAAACUCUAUAAAAUUUCUCUUUCAAAGAGUCCCCGGAAACCUUUUCCUUUUUCNGUUACCGGAAANUUUUUNUCGUUUACGCUCCUUCUUUUUAUUAUGGCUUUUUAGUUCUUUCAAGUAACAGUUACCCCCCGUCCGUCGGGCGAAAGGGAAUCCGUUUCCUAUUACGGAACCCGGUCGCGGAACCGCACUCACGAUUCUCGUAUGUACUCGGUAACGAGAACUAGCCCAGAGACGCCGUCUAGAACCCCCGGAAGAGUUUUCUUUUCUGCUUGAGCGUUCGGGUUCCGUGGAAUCCUCUCGCAGGGAGAUACGGAAUGGAACGCGAAGAGCACCGCAGUUGCUGCGGUGUCGGGGGAUGCGAGUCGGCCCUUGAAAAUCUGGGUGAGGGUCACGUGGAGGCGUCGCACCGGAUCGUACCCAUAUCCGCAGCAGGUCUCCGAGGUCAAGAGCCUCUAGUCGAUAGAAUAAUGUAGGUAAGGGAAGUC